AAACAUAAAAAAUAUGACCAAGGACAGACAGAUCACUGAAUUUUCUGUUUCUAGUGUACACGGACCGCAAAAGAAGGGUCUGCAUUUACAACUCAUAAAUGCAAGGUAAACAGCUCAUUGUUCCAUAAUUUGACCCCAUACUAUAGCCAUCAGUCUUUUCCCAAAUCAGAGGAUACACAGAACAUGGAAUUAUGGUGCUGCAAGAAUACCCUAAUUUCCCCAAUUCCUUUUGGGGAACCCUGAUUUGUGGAGCAGUGGAAGCCUGGACAGCAUUUAAACAACAUAAAAGCUGAUAUUUAUUCCUCUUCUUUAUCCUUUAAAGUAGGUCUGCUAUCAGCAAGCAGGUGAACAGUAUCUCAGGGAUAUGUACCUUUAUCUAUGUUGUGAUGGCGACCUCUAACUUUUCUUUGCAGUAGCCUUCUAUAUGUGCAUGUGUAUAUCCAUUCAAACUUUAUAUUAAAUUCUCUUAUUUAUGUCGAUUUUUCUUAUCUGUGUCAUUAAGGUCAAUUAUGGAGAUUUCUUACAAUAAUUUGAUUACACGCACAGCUGGAAAAGGAGCGUUGAGGACUGGAGUGAGGAUCCUAGGACAAAAAUGAGAACCUCUUCCCAUUCCACCAAGUGAUCAACACCAAACCUUCUCUCAGUGAAGAAUUAGGCAAGCACCAAGUGCAGUGUACCUUUCAGUUCUCCAAUAAGCAAAUCAAACUUCUUUGCUAUUGCCCACAUUCAUUCAGUUUAUUGAGGUAGCUGUAAACAGCAGACAUAGCACUCCAUCCAAUUUCUGCCCUCCCCUUUAUUAUUUAACUUUGCUCCUCCUUUGACAUCAUUUAAUUUAAGCACAUCAUGCAUCUUUCAUAUUGCUAAACUAUGCCAGCAUUCAUUAAUUUGUUUGUGUUCUCUCUCAGUUAUUCGUAUCAUUAGUUCAUUAAAUAUAAAAUAAGACAGAACAGAAAGGAUUGUAGCCUUUUGCCUUAACACCCGGAGUGCUCUUUCUAAAGGAACAGACAUACUAAUUAGUUCAGUAUCAUUUUAGCUUUGAUUUAUUUUUUAUACCAAAGCAGCUGCAAAUCACAGCCGAAAUCUCACAUCUACGGUAACAACUUUUCCAUUUCCCUACAAACCCAAAGCAUCGCAUGGUAAUUCUCAACUGCAUUGCACUUUCCUCUUAUUUAUCCACUCGGGAAAAAAAAAAAAAAAACACGCUUAAAAUAAGUAGCAAACAACCCCAUGGUUAGCAAAGAUCUCCCAAACAACAAGCGUUCUGUGUUUGAUGUUUGAAGAAAC